UAUUGCACAAUGGGCGAAAGCCUGAUGCAGCAACGCCGCGUGAGCGAUGAAGGCUUUUGGGUCGUAAAGAUCUGUCCUCAAGGAAGAUAAUGACGGUACUUGAGGAGGAAGCCCCGGUUAACUACGCGCCAGCAGCCGCGGUAAUACGUAGGGGGCUAGCGUUAUCCGGAAUUACUGGGCGUAAAGGGUGCGUAGGUGGUUUCUUAAGUCAGAGGUGAAAGGCUACGGCUCAACCGUAGUAAGCCUCUGAAACUGGGGAACUUGAGUGCAGGAGAGGAGAGUGGAAUUCCUAGUGUAGCGGUGAAAUGCGUAGAUAUUAGGAGGAACACCAGUUGCGAAGGCGGCUCUCUGGACUGUAGCUGACACUGAGGCACGAAAGCGUGGGGAGCAAACAGG
rnacentral:rRNA from 1 species